UACGUAGGGUGCAAGCGUUGUCCGGAAUUAUUGGGCGUAAAGGGCUCGUAGGCGGUUCCAUCGCGUCGGGAGUGAAAAGCCUGGGGCUUAACCCCAGUCCUGCUUCCGAUACGGGUGGACUAGGAGGUAGGUAGGGGAGAACGGAAUUCCUGGUGUAGCGGUGAAAUGACGCAGAGUAUCAGGAGGAACACCGGUGGCGAAGGCGGUUCUCUGGGCCUUACCUGACGCUGGAGGAGCGAAAGCAUGGGGAGCAAACAGG
rnacentral:rRNA from 1 species